rnacentral:rRNA from 1 species
AGUGAACGCUGGCGGUAGGCCUAACACAUGCAAGUCGAACGCCAGCACAGUAAGAGCUUGCUCUUACGGGUGGCGAGUGGCGGACGGGUGAGGAAUACAUCGGAAUCUACUUUUUCGUGGGGGAUAACGUAGGGAAACUUACGCUAAUACCGUAUACGACCUACGGGUGAAAGCAGGGGAUCUUCGGACCUUGCGCGAUUGAAUGAGCCGAUGUCGGAUUAGCUAGUUGGCGGGGUAAAGGCCCACCAAGGCGACGAUCCGUAGCUGGUCUGAGAGGAUGAUCAGCCACACUGGAACUGAGACACGGUCCAGACUCCUACGGGAGGCAGCAGUGGGGAAUAUUGGACAAUGGGCGCAAGCCUGAUCCAGCCAUACCGCGUGGGUGAAGAAGGCCUUCGGGUUGUAAAGCCCUUUUGUUGGGAAAGAAAAGCAGCAGGUUAAUACCCCGCUGUUCUGACGGUACCCAAAGAAUAAGCACCGGCUAACUUCGUG